GAAUCGGUGGUUCAGUGGUAGAAUGCUCGCCUGCUACGCGGGCGGCCAGGGUUCGAUUCCCGGCCGAUGCA
rnacentral:tRNA from 1 species